GCCUGAUUACCUGAUAAGGGAGGAAGAUGCAGUCAAUGAAGGGAAAUUUCAGAGAGCAGGGAUUCACAGGUGAUCCAAAGUGGAGGCAAACAAUCCUGGCAGACGUGAGUGUGCCCCAUCCCCUUCUGAUCUGGAAUGUUCCAGAGUCCCACCUCCUUUCAGGAAGAGCUUGAGAACAAGCCCGGCUUUUUGGUCUCCAUUUGUGCCUGGAGGAGUCACUUUUCCAUCCAGGAGCUCGGGCAGUUGGAAGAGUGGCACAUCUGGGAGCAUGGAGAGAUGAGCCAGCUGUGUGGACCACGCUUCUGGCUUCCGUACGUGGGAUUCUGUAACAUGUGCCUGCUGGACACGCCUCAUUCCAGAUAAUCCAGUGUCUUGCCUGAGUACCCUGAUCUUGGCCUUCUGCCUCCCUUCCUUGGAAAGAUUCUUUCUGCCAGGAGUUUUCUUUUCAAAUAUAGAUGAACUGAAUCAGAGCCCACACCCCAACCACUUUCUCUUUCAACAUCUCUUUGUUCUACUCUGUUGUAAUCACCUCAGAGCCAGGUACCAGACAACGAGGUACUCCCUUGAGCCCCAGAAUCCUAAAAUUAUUUAAAGGAGCCCAAGCCAAGCCUGCUGACUCUGCUUCAGAUUCCUCCUUAUGGAAACCACAACAAAGGCUCUUGCCCACGUUCACCUUCCUCUCGCUCUGCCCCAUGUCCGAUGCCAGCUCUCCUGUCUGGCCCCCAUGGUCUCUUGAAAUCCCUGAGUAUAAAACUAUC